AUACAACCAAACAGCCCCUGAGUCCCCCCCUCUUCCGCACUGAUUCCACUGUCUCCUAUCCUCCUCCCCUCCCUCCGCCGCCUUCUCCGGUGGUGGUGCCAUCUUCGAGCUCAACAUCUUCUCAACCGAUACAGAUCCAAACCCUAACCUUAACCAUAGCCCAAGCCUAAGCCCUAGCACCUCUAUCCACCACCAUUCCCCUCUAAACCCUAGCCCUAACUCCAGCACGAGCAGAUCGUCUCUCUCGUUGUUCCAUCUGGAGAACAACUUCAGCAUCCUCGCCGCUUUGCCGGAGGAUUCUAAGGCCAGAAGCCCUAACCCUAAGUUCCUCUAGCGGAAGCCUUCAAUCCCGUCGGCGUCAUCAUUGGCAUCAACGUCGGCGUAAUCAUCAGCUCUAGAUGGAGGAUGCGGAGUUUUGGACAGGGAGAGAGACUAUCCAGUAUCUUGAUGUCAUUAAAGGUUCUCCUCUUUUUCUUCCAUAAGCUUCUAACUCCAAAGACCUCGAUGACAAAGACGACAAUCUCAAGCUGGGGCUUCAAGGGUAAUUGCAGUUCAAGCAAGCAUGAAGAUGGCUUCAGUGGCCACUCAGGGAUUUCAUACAUGUGUCGGUUCUGGUGGGGAAAUGCAAACCCCAGAAUGGUACAUGGAGCAAGGCAUAGAGCUUAUGCAGGACUUGGGUCUUUCGUUUUGGGAAGUUCUGCUCUCUCUCUUUAUCAAAAUUGAAUGUCUAUGCACAUUAAAGUUAUGGAAAGUAUUUUCCAAGGAAGAGGUCUCAAUUCUCAUGCAUAUGCUAAACGAUCUGGUAGCAUGCACCAUGCGUACCACAACCUUCAACUGGAGAAACUUUAUUGCUGUCCUUAAGAAUAUGAAAUAAAUGAUCAAUCAUUGGAUGGCAUUCAACAUGUUCAAAACCCAAGAUCGCGAAGGAAGAAGAUAUUAUAGGGGACACUCAAAGAGUUGUAACUAAAAAUUGAAUGAGUUUCAGAGUUCGUUGCAAGAGAGAUGAGAAAUGAGAUGUUUGUUUACAAUAUGCAUCAUAAAACGUUUAAAUGUUAUUUAAAUUGGAGAUACUUUUUGUUUGAUUGUAAUAAUGUAAGGUGAAUUUUUACAAGAUUCUCAUGAAAUAAUCAUGAGAGUAAUUAAGAACA